CGGGACCUUGCGAGGGCCCUUUACCCGAACCGGGCUCUAACCCGGUCACAACACAGGCGGGGCGACCCGUCGCAAGCUAACGGAAGACAGAAA
rnacentral:ncRNA from 1 species